UACGUAGGGUGCGAGCGUUGUCCGGAAUUAUUGGGCGUAAAGGGCUCGUAGGCGGUUUGUCGCGUCGGGAGUGAAAUCCACUGGCUUAACUGGUGGCUUGCUUUCGAUACGGGCAGACUGGAGGUAUGCAGGGGAGAACGGAAUUCCCGGUGUAGCGGUGAAAUGCGCAGAUAUCGGGAAGAACACCCGUGGCGAAGGCGGCUCUCUGGAACGCAACUGACGCUGAGACGCGAAAAGCGUGGGGAGCAAACAGGG
rnacentral:rRNA from 1 species